rnacentral:rRNA from 1 species
UGAGUGGCGAACGGGUGAGUAACACGUGAGUAACCUGCCCAUCACUCUGGGAUAAGCGCUGGAAACGGCGUCUAAUACUGGAUACGAGCAGCGACCGCAUGGUCAGCUGCUGGAAAGACUGGUUCGGUGAUGGAUGGACUCGCGGCCUAUCAGCUUGUUGGUGAGGUAAUGGCUCACCAAGGCGACGACGGGUAGCCGGCCUGAGAGGGUGACCGGCCACACUGGGACUGAGACACGGCCCAGACUCCUACGGGAGGCAGCAGUGGGGAAUAUUGCACAAUGGGCGCAAGCCUGAUGCAGCAACGCCGCGUGAGGGAUGACGGCCUUCGGGUUGUAAACCUCUUUUAGUAGGGAAGAAGCCUUCGGGUGACGGUACCUGCAGAAAAAGCACCGGCUAACUACGUGCCAGCAGCCGCGGUAAUACGUAGGGUGCAAGCGUUGUCCGGAAUUAUUGGGCGUAAAGAGCUCGUAGGCGGCUUGUCGCGUCUGCUGUGAAAACCCGAGGCUCAACCUCGGGCCUGCAGUGGGUACGGGCAAGCUAGAGUGCGGUAGGGGAGAUUGGAAUUCCUGGUGUAGCGGUGGAAUGCGCAGAUAUCAGGAGGAACACCGAUGGCGAAGGCAGAUCUCUGGGCCGUAACUGACGCUGAGGAGCGAAAGCAUGGGGAGCGAACAGGAUUAGAUACCCUGCUAGUCCAUGCCGUAAACGUUGGGAACUACAUGUAUGGACUGUUUCAUCCGUUCUGUGUCGUAGCUAAGGUAUUAAGUUCCUCGCCCUGGUGAGUACGGGAUUUUAGUUUAUUCCUCAAAGCAAUUUACU